rnacentral:rRNA from 1 species
CCUUUGACAUGUACGGAAGCCUUUAGAGAUAGAGGCGUGCUCGAAAGAGAGCCGUAACACAGGUGCUGCAUGGCUGUCGUCAGCUCGUGUCGUGAGAUGUUGGGUUAAGUCCCGCAACGAGCGCAACCCUUGUCAUUAGUUGCUACAUUCAGUUGGGCACUCUAAUGAGACUGCCGGUGACAAGCCGGAGGAAGUGGGGAUGACGUCAAGUCCUCAUGGCCCUUAUAGGUGGGGCUACACACGUCAUACAAUGGCUGGUACAAAGGGUUGCCAACCCGCGAGGGGGAGCUAAUCCCAUAAAGCCAGUCGUAGUCCGGAUCGUAGUCUGCAACUCGACUACGUGAAGUCGGAAUCGCUAGUAAUCGUGGAUCAGAAUGUCACGGUGAAUACGUUCCCGGGUCUU